rnacentral:rRNA from 1 species
AUUGAACGCUGGCGGCAUGCUUUACACAUGCAAGUCGAACGGCAGCGGGGAGGAGCUUGCUUCUCUGCCGGCGAGUGGCGAACGGGUGAGUAAUACAUCGGAACGUGUCGAGAAGAGGGGGAUAACCACCCGAAAGGGUGGCUAAUACCGCAUAAAUUCUGAGGAAGAAAGCUGGGGACCUAGGAAUAGGCCUAGCGCUUUUUGAGCGGCCGAUGUCGGAUUAGCUAGUUGGUGAGGUAAAGGCUCACCAAAGCGAAGAUCUGUAGCGGGUCUGAGAGGAUGAUCCGCCACACUGGGACUGAGACACGGCCCAGACUCCUACGGGAGGCAGCAGUGGGGAAUUUUGGACAAUGGGGGCAACCCUGAUCCAGCCAUGCCGCGUGUAUGAAGAAGGCCUUAGGGUUGUAAAGUACUUUUGUUAGGGAAGAAAAGUCAGCUGUGAAUAAUGGCUGAUACUGACGGUACCUAAAGAAUAAGCACCGGCUAACUACGUG